rnacentral:rRNA from 1 species
UACGGGGGGGGCGAGCGUUGUCCGGAUUCAUUGGGCGUAAAGCGCUUUAAGGCGGUUCGCUAAGUCGGAUGUGAAAUCUCCAGGCUCAACCUGGAGGGGUCAUUCGAUACUGCCAUGACUAGAGGUAUGCAGGGGAGAACGGAAUUCCUGGUGUAGCGGUGGAAUGCGCAGAUAUCAGGAGGAACACCGGUGGCGAAGGCGGUUCUCUGGGCAUUACCUGACGCUGAGGAGCGAAAGCAUGGGGAGCGAACAGG